AAUCGAAAGGGUUGUUGAAGUAACUGCCGACUCAUUCACUCAAGCACUCAGUAGAGAUUAAAGGAGUGUAAACAUCAGACAAUUUGCUACUGUGAUUGUGUGAAUGAAGCGGGAGAUAUUUUACAUCCCUCUUUCUC